GGCUGAUUAGCUCAUUUGGUAGAGUGUGGUGCUGAUAACACCAAGGUCAAGGAUUCAAAUCCCUUACCAGCCA